AAGUCGCGCGAGGAAGUAUCUUCGGAUAUGAGUAGAGCGGCGAACGGGUGAGUAACGCGUAGGAAUGUACCUAGUAGAAGGGGAUAGCCCGAGGAAACUCGGAUUAAUACCGUAUACCUCCUUCGGGAGAAAGAAGGCCUCUCUUUGAAGCUUUCGCUACUAGAUCAGCCUGCGUAAGAUUAGCUUGUUGGUGAGGUAAUGGCUCACCAAGGCUACGAUCUUUAGCUGGUCUGAGAGGACGAUCAGCCACAUUGGGACUGAGACACGGCCCAGACUCCUACGGGAGGCAGCAGUGGGGAAUAUUGGACAAUGGGCGCAAGCCUGAUCCAGCCAUACCGCGUGUGUGAAGAAGGCCUUCGGGUUGUAAAGCACUUUAAGCAGGGAGAAAAAAAUAUAGGUUAAUACCCUAUGUUCUUGAUGUUACCUGCAGAAUAAGCACCGGCUAAUUCCGUGCCAGCAGCCGCGGUAAUACGGAAGGUGCAAGCGUUAAUCGGAAUUACUGGGCGUAAAGCGCGCGUAGGUGGUUUGUUAAGUUGGAUGUGAAAGCCCUGGGCUCAACCUAGGAACUGCAUCCAAAACUGACUGACUAGAGUACGAUAGAGGGAGGUAGAAUUCAUAGUGUAGCGGUGGAAUGCGUAGAUAUUAUGAAGAAUACCAGUGGCGAAGGCGGCCUCCUGGAUCUGUACUGACACUGAGGUGCGAAAGCGUGGGUAGCGAACAGGAUUAGAUACCCUGGUAGUCCACGCCGU
rnacentral:rRNA from 1 species